rnacentral:rRNA from 1 species
UACAGAGGUCUCAAGCGUUGUUCGGAUUCAUUGGGCGUAAAGGGUGCGUAGGUGGCGGGGUAAGUCAGGUGUGAAAAUCUCGGGGGCUCAACCCCCGAAACUGCACUUGAUACUGCCUUGCUCGAGUACUGGAGAGGAGAUUGGAAUUUACGGUGUAGCAGUGAAAUGCGUAGAUAUCGUAAGGAAGACCAGUGGCGAAGGCGGGUCUCUGGACAGUUCCUGACGCUGAGGCACGAAGGCCAGGGGGAGCAAACGGGG